rnacentral:rRNA from 1 species
CCUACGGGUGGCUGCAGUGAGGAAUAUUGGUCAAUGGACGAGAGUCUGAACCAGCCAAGUAGCGUGAAGGAUGACUGCCCUAUGGGUUGUAAACUUCUUUUAUAAAGGAAUAAAACGAGGCACGUGUGCCUGUUUGCAUGUACUUUAUGAAUAAGGAUCGGCUAACUCCGUGCCAGCAGCCGCGGUAAUACCGAGGAUCCGAGCGUUAUCCGGAUUUAUUGGGUUUAAAGGGAGCGUAGAUGGGUUGUUAAGUCAGUUGUGAAAUUUUGCGGAUCAACCGUAAAAUUGCAAUUGAUACUGGCAGUCUUGAGUACAGUAGAGGUAGGCGGAAUUCGUGGUGUAGCGGUGAAAUGCUUAGAUAUCACGAAGAACCCCGAUUGCGAAGGCAGCUUACUAAACUGUGACUGACAUUGAUGCUCGAAAGUGUGGGUAUCAAACAGGAGUAGAUACCCGAGUAGUC